CUUAAACUGAAGAUGAGACCCAGAUCAGCGCGGACAUCUCUGAGAAAGGACAGGGAAUGCCAGGUGGAGUGGAGACAUCAGGAAGCACAAGAGAGGCUUUUCCCAGGGACAGAGCAGAGUUGCAUGGAGCACUGAGUCAAGGGCAGAGACGGAAGACAGUGUGUCCUGCUGAACCCAUUGGAAAAAUUGAGAGAGAAUUUAAAAUGUAAUGGCUCCAGUUGGGGCAGAGGAAGGAUGACCAAUGACCUUACCCUGAAAGACGGUGCCUGACAGUCUAUGCUCAGACUCACUGCUGAUUAAGACUCUGCUUUUGACACCAGUCCCUAGCCCACAGGACACCGGCUCCAGAUUGACUCAGAGGUUGUCUCUGCUCCAGCAAGGACCUUGGAGGUCCCAAGUGGCCCAGACUGCAACCCUGUCUGUGAAGAACCAAGACUGGAUGGGCCACCACAGCCUAAGGGAAGUGAGCUGCAGCCCACUGAGGAGAGGAGGAGUGUGACAAGACCAGGGUCUGCUGAGUGGUCACCAUUAUGCUGUGACCCCUGGCUCAGUCCACAGCAUGUGUCUUCUCUGAUCUUCCCACAGCUCUUCCUCCCUCCCACCCAUUGUCUAGCUCUGUGUCUCCCUUCUUCCUGCUCCUCGGUAGACAGUGCAAGUGGUGGGAAAUCUUACGCUGGGAAAGAUGCCACAGUCUAGAGUUGCCCACAGCUGGGCUGGACUGAGGGCUCUUCACCCUAGGAUUCAUUGGUGGAGACCUAAGCUCCAAUCUGGUGGUCCUAGAAGGUGAUGGCUAUGGGAGAUGAGGAAGGCAGAGCACCAUGCUGGGCUGAAUAUGCUUAUAAUAAAGGAUGCCUGAGACCCUCUCUCUCCCACCUUAGGACAGCGAGAUGACAGCCACCUAUGAGCCAGAAAGUGGGCUCACCAGAAUGCAGCUGUGCUGGGACCCUGAUCUGGGACUUCGAGCCUCCGGAACCCUGAGAAACAAAUUCUCUUUGCUUACAGUCAACCUGUCUUUGGUGUUCCAUGUAGUUGCUCAGAUGGACUAAGACAAUAACUCACUAAUUGUGUUAUUCCAACAAACCGAUAACCUCAGCACUCCACCCCUGUAAGACAGCAGUGAGAACGCUGUGUGUUAUUAGAAUGGAAUGAAACAACGAAUCUGCGGUGCGAUUACCUGACCGAUGCUCAUGCAGUGUUUGUCUCUUCUUUCUCUUGCUCUCGUCUCAACUUUUCCUCCUCCCACUUCCCUAUGGAAGUAGAGUGUGGAGAACAAAGCAAGCAGAGGUGGUGAAGGAACCCAGCACUUCUGACCCAGAAUGAGGCUGAAAGGUCCUCUGCUCUGUCCUCCUCAUUUCGAGAGUGAGUAGGGGAUGUGGGAACAAAGACUUCUCCCUGGCCCUCUCUUACACCUCACAUCACAGGAAAACCAGGACGAUGGGAAGAGAGGACGACUAUGGCCACCAUAUCUAUAUUCUUUCCAGCUUAUAUUUAUUCAGAAUAGGGGCUUCUGUAAUCUUUUCAAAACCUGACUUAUAUUGAUGGAAAUGCUUCAAAACUAAGAUCACUACAUUUCUAACUGGUGUUAACAUUUUUGCCCAAUUUUGUCACUCCCCCUACAAAAGUAUCAGAAGUGUUGAUUGCUCCAUGUUCUCUGUUAGGAGAACCUCCAGGAUCUGUCCACCCUGGCUUCCCCAUACUCAGCUCCCAACCUCAGCCCUGGACUAGCCCAGGCUGGCUUGGGCACCCACAGCUGCUAUCUGGAGCUUG
ensembl:lincRNA